rnacentral:lncRNA from 1 species
UUUUAUCUCCCGGUGUCCAGCCGCAUGCGCCUGGCAUAUUGUGGAUGUAAUUAAUGUGAGUGUUGGAUGGGUGCCCACUGGGAAACUUCUCAGAAGGGUUUGGCCCAGAACGUGUUUGCAGAGAGCUUCCUCAGCUCUGCUUUCAGGGAGCAAGCACACGCCUGGGAUGUAUUGCAGGGUCAGCUUCUGGCCAGACCAAAAAGGUCUGGCAAGGUGUGGGCCACAUUGUGGUUAUUCAGUGUGACGCAGAGGUGUGGCUCAGGGGACUCUGGGAUUGACCGAGUGAUGGAAGGGUGGCAGGGAGGGAGGAAGGAAGGAAGCACCGAAAUAAAGGCUGACCCGGCGUCACCAUGUCGCUAUCACAGGAGCUCAGACUCCAGAUCAGGUGGGACUAGAUUCCACAUUCUUAUCGGACUUUUAAACUUGUGGGCUAAGUCUUGUCUUUAAUUCUCAGCUCCCCAGAGGUAGAAACAGGAAGAUCAGGAGUUUAAGACCAGCUUCAGUUACCUGAGACCCUGCCUCAAAAACAAAAACAAAAACAAACCCGAAAACCAAACAAACAAUCAAAAAGAGCCAAAGAAAAAACGGGGAA